rnacentral:rRNA from 1 species
AACCUGGUUGAUCCUGCCAGUAGUCAUAUGCUUGUCUCAAAGACUAAGCCAUGCAUGUCUAAGUAUAAGUAUUAUACAGCGAAACUGCGAAUGGCUCAUUAAAACAGUUAUAAUUUAUUUGAUAAUCGAAUUUACAUGGAUAACCGUGGUAAUUCUAGAGCUAAUACAUGCUGGUAGGCCCGACUUUUUGGAAGGGCGGUAUUCAUUAGAUAACAAACCAAUAUUCCUCUGGUCUAUUGUGGUGAAUCAUAAUAACUGAUCAAAUCGCAAGGUUUUUAACCGCGAUAAGUCAUUCAAGUUUCUGCCCCAUCAGCUUUCGAUGGUAGUGUAUUGGACUACCAUGGCUUUUACGGGUAACGGAGGAUUAGGGUUCGAUUCCGGAGAGGGAGCCUGAGAAACGGCUACCACAUCUAAGGAAGGCAGCAGGCGCGUAAAUUACCCAAUCCUGACUCAGGGAGGUAGUGACAAGAAAUAACGGACCGAGGCCUUCGGGCUUCGGGAUUGCAAUGAGCCGAAUUUACACCCCUUAGCGAAGAUCGAU